AGUGUGUUGCAAGACUAUAAAAUUACUCAUACAGUUGCAGCAAAGACAAGGCAUGUUUGAAUGAGAAGAAAACAUGAAUUAUACUUUUUAAUAAUAGAAGAGAUUUCUUACAACUUUCAUUCCCACACACAUCUAAGCUUGAUGGAGAGUUGUACAAAUUCAAUUUCAUAAAAGUAGUUUCAACUUCACACACUUUUUUACUUCUUUCAACACAUAACAUUUUUCUGUAUAUCACCCCUAACAUAAAUCAGUUUUCAUAGAUCAGUUUUUGUUUUUUAUUUCCUAUUUCAUAGAUAACUAAAAACUCUUAUUUGGGUUAUGGUGCUGGUUGUAGAUCUCUGAUUUUUUUUUAAUGUCAGGUUGUGCCUUGGUAAGCCAGAAGAAUUCAUACACAUGUAUGUGCGCACACACACAUGCACUCACACUUGCUUUUUGGCUCUUCCUCCAACUAUUUGGCUGACAAGGCAAGAAAAAGGAAGGUUCUGGCUUCCAUGUUGCCCCACAGUCAAUCAACAGGGUUGGUGCAUACUAACAGAAAUGAUGUGCCUCCCACUGCGUCAGCUGUUGAGUUGGAGACCACUCAGUGAUCCAGCUGUGACAUAAAAUGUCAUUGCGAAUCAUCCCUGGACUGAGACAUUUUCUCCCUUGAGACUCCACUGAUUGAAGCUGGGUUACAUAUAAGUAUGAAUGUCCACCCAGUUUUCUUAUUGGUAUAGAUUCCGGAUCUCUCAGGCACGAGACCAGAGUGGAAGAGGAAUCAAAUGUCUUUCCAUCUUCAGUCUAGGUUGCUCUGUCUAAUGAACCAAAGCAUGGGUGUGUUGAGUGUCUUCAUAUGAAAGUCUUACAACUGUACAGCAAGAAAUGUAUGGGCCAUUUUGUGCUUCACCAUCAUCAUUGCCUAAGUGUAGAACAUUGUGUGUAAGUCAUUUAUGGAAGUGCUUAGCCUACCCUUCCAUAAG